UCAAAGCUCAUGUCAAAAGGGCACCAGAGAAAGAAGCAUUGUCCUAUAUCCAAAGACCAUGAGCAACAGAGGCUACACCAAAAGAUUUAAACAAAACCUCACAACAACAAAAAAUCUAACUUCAUUGAGCCCAAAUGACCUCUGCCCUCUAGGGAGCACUGGGGCAGGAAUACUGGAGGCGCUGCCAUUUUCUGCCUUAGGAGAGCUUCCUGACCCAGGCAUGGAAUACCAUGGCCCCCGUGCCUCCUGUCUUGCAGGUGGAUUCUCUACCAGCGCCAUCAGGGAAGCCCACGGCAGAGGGAGAAGAGAGAAGCUAGAGAUUUAGUUAACCAACACUGGCCAAAGAGUUCAUCAACCACACCUUGGUAACGUAACCUCCAGAAACCCCUAAAAGACAGGGUUCUGGGUGCUUCCAGGUGGCUGACAUGCUGGGAGGAUGGCUUACCUGGACAGGGCUUGGGAGCUCUGCGACACCCUCCACCUUCCCCCGCCAGCCCCUUGCCCUAUGCCUCUGUUCCAUUUGGCUGU